AACGAACGCUGGCGGCAUGCCUAACACAUGCAAGUCGAACGAGAUCUUCGGGUCUAGUGGCGCACGGGUGCGUAACGCGUGGGAAUCUGCCCUUUGGUUCGGAAUAACAGUUGGAAACGACUGCUAAUACCGGAUGAUGACGAAAGUCCAAAGAUUUAUCGCCAGAGGAUGAGCCCGCGUAGGAUUAGCUAGUUGGUGUGGUAAAGGCGCACCAAGGCGACGAUCCUUAGCUGGUCUGAGAGGAUGAUCAGCCACACUGGGACUGAGACACGGCCCAGACUCCUACGGGAGGCAGCAGUGGGGAAUAUUGGACAAUGGGCGAAAGCCUGAUCCAGCAAUGCCGCGUGAGUGAUGAAGGCCUUAGGGUCGUAAAGCUCUUUUACCCGGGAUGAUAAUGACAGUACCGGGAGAAUAAGCUCCGGCUAACUCCGUGCCAGCCGCCGCGGUAAGAC
rnacentral:rRNA from 1 species